AGAGCCAGAAGGACAUUCAAGGGGUAAGGGAGGAGGAGAGACAGUCAAGGGAAAGGGGUGCAGCCUUGGCAGGGGCCAUGAAGACUCAGGAGGAGGAAGGGGGCCAAGGAAACAUCCACCAUAACCAAUAGGCUACGUGAUUUGAGGAGGAGCUCAUGUCUGACCAAUGAACUAAGGAGAGUAGGGUCCAGUACCAGGGACAAAGGACAAAUCAGAAAGAAGAGGAGUGAAAAAUCUGAAAAAUCCGAAGAAAAUCGAAAAGGAAGAAGAGAGCCUAGACCAUGCCCCUAGGUCAUUCCAGCAGGUCCCGUCGCCAUAGCCGUCUCAAUACCACGCAUCAGCCCACUGUGCUCAGUGGCUGGGGUGCUCCUCCAGGCAGAGACUGGAGCCAUAGGGCUAUGUGUGGCUGCCCAUACCACUGUGAGCCACCAGAGGAGAGAACAAGCUCUCGACCAGUCCACGGACUCGUCAGCAGGCAGCCAUCUCGGGAGUCAUCUGGCCUACCCUGCCGGCUCCCCUGCAGGGGUUGGACUCCGGAGCUUCAGCCUACGCUACCAAACCGUCAUCACUUUCAUUUCCCCAGUGCGACUGGGCGAUCUCAUGGAUCCCACUCCAGAGCAGGUGGCCUAUACCCUCCACUUUAUCAGCAGCCUGGGUCUUCUCGUCUCUUCCGCAUUCCUCCUCGCUAUACCCAUUAUCGGGGACCUCAAAACUAUCCAGAUCAUCAAUACUUUUAUCCAUCUUCAUCUGAGCUUCUGCCUUUUUCUCUCCCAUCCUCUCUUCCUCGCCGGAAUACACUGGACCCUUAGUGAGGCCAUGUGCAUCAUGAUCUCCUGUAUCUUCCACAACUUGGUCCUGGCUAGUUUUGUCUGGAUAUUCCUGGGCAGGCUCUGUUUCUACCUGAUCUCCUGGAGCCUCAAGGUGAUCAACUAUCUCAGCACCAUCCAGCUAUUCAGGAAAGUGCUGAAUUUCUUUGGUUAUGGGAUGCCUGCUCUGUACAUAGGUUUAUUUAUUGCCAUCCAGGCCCAUGACAUCAAUAAUUAUAACAACUGUUGGAUCAACCCCAUCAAGGACUCAGAAUGGAUCUUUGUGAGUCCCAUCUGCGUUUUAAUAAUGUGACAACAACAAAAAGAAACACUCAUUGAAGAAGUCAAGCCUAUAACUCAAUAGACAAUAGAAGCAAAGAAAAAGAAACUUGCCUCCAAAUACAUGGGGUGGCCCAUGCCCUUUGCCCCAACCCAUAGCAGAAGAAUUCCAAUUCCUGAUAGGUCUCCAUGAUAUGGAAGACGUUGUGACCUAGAUCAUAGAUCUAAGGAUGGAAGAGACCUUAACAGCCUUUUGGUCCAACUCCCUGAGAGGCCUAGAGAAAUAAAGUGACUGGCCCCAUGUAAGUCAUAAGCUUCACAACUUUCCCGACUCGAGGAUCAGCAUUCUUUCCACGUUCUCUUCAGCCUCAAAAGCUGAUUUCCUUUUGAGUCUAUGGAUUUCAGCAGAAGUUUUGCAAAGGGCCCUUGUGAGUUCUUAUCCUGACAACUCCAAGGAUAAUCAGGGAUGGAUACGAAGCAAAGUUUCACUGGAUAACUGGCAGGAGUCUUCCCUCUUCCCCAGACACAGAGUGGUCAACACAGUUUUCAAGGAUCUGGAGUUUAGAUGCCCAAACACUCCCUUCUGAUGAGCAUCCUGCAGAAUCGGUGACAUCUGAAGGGCAAAGGCCAACAUCUGUUUCCUCCUUCGGUGGAAUAGAGACUUAGAUGGAUUCUCAUUUGCCCCAGGCCUGGUAUCCUGCUCAAAAGUUCCUCCACAGACAGCUGAGUAAGACCCAGAAGUCUUCCUGCCAAGGCAAGGGAGGCUUCCACCUACCCCUCAAUGGUUCCAUCCCAUCAAGAUCUCACCCCCACUACCAGCAACAGAUCGUCCCUCAUUAAAUUCCUCUUGACUCAU